rnacentral:rRNA from 1 species
CACUCCUACGGGAGGCAGCAGUAGGGAAUCUUCCACAAUGGGUGCAAACCUGAUGGAGCAAUGCCGCGUGAGUGAAGAAGGUCUUCGGAUCGUAAAGCUCUGUUGUUAGAGAAGAACACGUGCUAGGUAACUACUAGCGCCUUGACGGUAUCUAACCAGAAAGUCACGGCUAACUACGUGCCAGCAGCCGCGGUAAUACGUAGGUGACAAGCGUUGUCCGGAUUUAUUGGGCGUAAAGGGAGCGCAGGCGGUCUGUUUAGUCUAAUGUGAAAGCCCACGGCUUAACCGUGGAACGGCAUUGGAAACUGACAGACUUGAAUGUAGAAGAGGAAAAUGGAAUUCCAAGUGUAGCGGUGGAAUGCGUAGAUAUUUGGAGGAACACCAGUGGCGAAGGCGAUUUUCUGGUCUAACAUUGACGCUGAGGCUCGAAAGCGUGGGGAGCGAACAGGAUUAGAAACCCGAGUAGUCCCAUGA